AUGCGAUGCAGAUGGGGAAAUCUGACAAGCCUCCCCCCCAGGAUGAAGAGCUGCCGAGAGAAGGAGACUCCGUCUUCUCCAGGGAACAUAAGGGAUGAUGAUGACAAGGAGGCAAAGGCUACAGCAGACAAGUGACAUCCGGGGCAAGCAAAGCUACGCAGUUAGAUUUGUAUUCAGCACACUGAUGUAUUUUUGGUCAAAACUGUUUCUGCUCCCUUGCUCUAAGGAGUUCUGUCUGGCAUAGACACAGCAUUUAUCCACUUCCCAGAGAAUGUGCGACCCCUACCAGAUCUACGCAAGACUGUCCAUUGAAACCCUGUCUGGAACCAAGCUCCUCCCAGUCUACUCGGCAUGACUCACCCCUCAGCGCUUGCCAUCUGCAGCAUGAGCACACACCUGAGCACACACCUGAGCACACAUGUGCUGCAUAUGCUCAGACAGGAUCCUGAAGCAAAGCAAAGACCCCAGCUCAACAAAACCUCCGUCCUUCAGAUUAGAGCACCUAGGAAAACAUUGGGCAGGGAAAAGCCUCCUCCCACUGACAGAAGAUCCCUGGCUUUGUGACAUCCUGGUAUAUACAGGGUGGGGGAGGAGAGAGGCUGGGGCCAGAAGUCACAGUUCAGUACCAUCUCCUUAGAGCCACGUUCAUCAAGGGACAAGGAGCAAGAACUAUGUGGAGGACCAGAAGGAGAGGCAGAUGUCUGCUAACCAGGAGAUACAGCUCUGGACUCUGAGAGGUUAGAGAGCUGCUCACCAUUGCCCAAAGCAAUUAAUCUGCUAGGAUUGAGACUGGAGAGAUGACCGAGGAGGAUGACAGGAAUGUGCUGGAAAAAGCCAAGCAAACUGCCAUGGGGUUCAACACCACCGGAGGGAAGAUCCGGGAAGCUGUUUUGAAAGUCACGUGGAUGACUGAGUUUCUCAUCCCUGCCUAGCAUGUUCCUGCUGUGACACCUGUUCUCUUUUCCCUGGGUCCCUCCAACAAUGGUCACAUCCCUUCCAUCCACCCAGGGCCAUAAGAGGCCAAGGCCUUCCAUCUACGAUGUGGACAUGUCUGUAGACAGGCACUGGACUUCCUCUUUCCUCAACACAUCUGCCAUCCUCGUAGCUGGAGAUGACAUCAAAGCCAGCCACGGUGACCUAGUCAUCCCUGAGGACUUCCCUCUUCUCUGCUCCCUGCAUCGGGGUGUCCUGGCCUAGGCUAACCCUUGGCCACUUGUGAACCCACCUCCCGGUUGGCCACUUUUCUCUUUCCUAACUAGCUCUUCCCACCUAAUGUCCAGUUAAGUUCAGGCCAUCACUGAAAGUGUCCGGUUAAAGGACAAGUGCUUUCCUCACACUGAUGAGGCCCCAGGCGCCAUCCUCAAAACAGGAACAUAACAACCGGCAGAAGAAAGGAAACCAACCAAGGCAGCAGCCAGAAGUAGGCCUCCCCCACCCCGCACUGAGUGUCCCUUGAAGGCUUGACUGGGCUGGCUUCGCUUCCAAGCCUGAAACCUACCCACAGCCAUCCUGUGACCUCCACAUUGCCAACCCCAGGGGCCUUCUCGGGUCCUAUUCCCAUCCACCACCUCUCUGACAUGCAGCUUCCCCGAUGUACUCCCCAGCUCCACAGACCUCUGCUCGUUUAUUCCUCUGCAACCAUCUGUUCACGGUACUCACACCAGCUACCCUGGUCUGCUGGGGUGGGGGAGGCUUGCUAUUACCUCUCCAACAAACUCCAAUUCUUAACUCCACUCUGCAGACCCCAUCCCUGGGACCCUCCUGAACUGGGGCUUGUCCCUCUCUCAGGCCAUGUCCCAGCUUUGUUCUCUCCUAAUCACCUUCACGAACCCUAGUUUUUCUGCCUUUCAUAGCCUAUUCCUCUUGGAGGGGGCUGAGCACUUGAA